rnacentral:rRNA from 1 species
UACGUAGGGUGCGAGCGUUAAUCGGAAUUACUGGGCGUAAAGCGUGCGCAGGCGGUUUUGUAAGCCAGAUGUGAAAUCCCCGGGCUCAACCUGGGAACUGCAUUUGGGACUGCAAGGCUAGAGUACGGCAGAGGGGGGUAGAAUUCCUGGUGUAGCAGUGAAAUGCGUAGAUAUCAGGAGGAAUACCGAUGGCGAAGGCAGCCCCCUGGGUCGAUACUGACGCUCGUGCACGAAAGCGUGGGGAGCAAACAGG